GAGCGAGUACCAGGACAGGCCCCAAAGUUACAGAGAAACCCUGUCUUGAAAAAAUAAAGAAGUUUGCGCUAGGUUGCCAAAGAAAAUGCUCCCGCGCUUCCUGUCUGUCUCUGUGGCAGUCCAGAUUGAAUUGGAGAGUACAUGU